rnacentral:rRNA from 1 species
CCUACGUGCGGCAGCAGUGAGGAAUAUUGGUCAAUGGACGAGAGUCUGAACCAGCCAAGUAGCGUGAAGGAUGACUGCCCUAUGGGUUGUAAACUUCUUUUAUAUGGGAAUAAAAUGUUCCACGUGUGUGAUUUUGUAUGUACCAUAUGAAUAAGGAUCGGCUAACUCUGUGCCAGCAGCCGCGGUAAUACGGAGGAUCCGAGCGUUAUCCGGAUUUAUUGGGUUUAAAGGGAGCGUAGGUGGAUUGUUAAGUCAGUUGUGAAAGUUUGCGGCUCAACCGUAAAAUUGCAGUUGAAACUGGCAGUGUUGAGUACAGUAGAGGUGGGCGGAAUUCGUGGUGUAGCGGUGAAAUGCUUAGAUAUCACGAAGAACUCAGAGUGCGAAGGCAGUUCACUGGACUGCAACUGACACUGAGGCUCGAAAGUGUGGGUAUCAAACAGGAGUAGAGACCCGAGUAGUC